GACGAACGCUGGCGGCGUGCUUAACACAUGCAAGUCGAACGGAAAGGCCCUGCUUUUGUGGGGUGCUCGAGUGGUGAACGGGUGAGUAACACGUGAGUAACCUGCCCUUGACUUUGGGAUAACUUCAGGAAACUGGGGCUAAUACCGGAUAGGAGCUCCUGCUGCAUGGUGGGGGUUGGAAAGUUUCGGCGGUUGGGGAUGGACUCGCGGCUUAUCAGCUUGUUGGUGGGGUAGUGGCUUACCAAGGCUUUGACGGGUAGCCGGCCUGAGAGGGUGACCGGCCACAUUGGGACUGAGAUACGGCCCAGACUCCUACGGGAGGCAGCAGUGGGGAAUAUUGCACAAUGGGCGGAAGCCUGAUGCAGCAACGCCGCGUGCGGGAUGACGGCCUUCGGGUUGUAAACCGCUUUCGCCUAUGACGAAGCGUGAGUGACGGUAAUGGGUAAAGAAGCACCGGCUAACUACGUG
rnacentral:rRNA from 1 species